rnacentral:rRNA from 1 species
UACGUAGGGUGCAAGCGUUGUCCGGAAUUAUUGGGCGUAAAGAGCUUGUAGGCGGUUUGUCGCGUCUGCUGUGAAAUUUCGGGGCUCAACCCCGAACUUGCAGUGGGUACGGGCAGACUAGAGUGUUGUAGGGGAGACUGGAAUUCCUGGUGUAGCGGUGAAAUGCGCAGAUAUCAGGAGGAACACCGAUGGCGAAGGCAGGUCUCUGGGCCACUACUGACGCUGAGAAGCGAAAGCAUGGGGAGCGAACAGG